CCUACGGGAGGCUGCAGUGAGGAAUAUUGGUCAAUGGGCGUAAGCCUGAACCAGCCAAGUCGCGUGAGGGAUGAAGGUUCUAUGGAUCGUAAACCUCUUUUAUAAGGGAAUAAAGUGUGGGACGUGUCCUAUUUUGUAUGUACCUUAUGAAUAAGGAUCGGCUAACUCCGUGCCAGCAGCCGCGGUAAUACGGAGGAUCCGAGCGUUAUCCGGAUUUAUUGGGUUUAAAGGGUGCGUAGGGGGCCUUUUAAGUCAGCGGUGAAAGUUUGUGGCUCAACCAUAGAAUUGCCGUUGAUACUGGGAGGCUUGAGUACGUUUGAGGCAGGCGGAAUGCGUGGUGUAGCGGUGAAAUGCUUAGAUAUCACGCAGAACCCCGAUUGCGAAGGCAGCCUGCCAAGCCAUGACUGACGCUGAUGCACGAAAGCGUGGGGAUCAAACAGGAUUAGAUACCCCAGUAGUC
rnacentral:rRNA from 1 species